AUGAAGAAUAGAUAUAUUAUUUGUCUUUAUUGUAUUUGUGGAAGUGAGGUGAGCCCCUUGUUUUGUCUGUCAUUUGAGUCGAGAAACUCAAGUUGUUGGCCUUUUUUUAUUUAAAAUUUGGACCUUUUGAAUAUCCUAGCCCUUAUCUCUAAAAGGGCUUACUCCAUUCUCUAUUUCAUAUCCUCCUCUGGUCACUGGUAUAGAUGAUGACCGGCUUUCCUCCCUUUUCACACUGAAAGGCACCUCUGUCCUCCGGUGUCUAAAUACCCUUAUGUAAUUGCACUCGUAACUUAUUUAUCUUCAAUUGACAUUGCCUUGAAAAGCCUAAACCUAUCUCGAGAGUAACCUGGGGACCCAAUGUAGCUUUCUCUGGUUGGGUACGUACGGCUGUUCCUGCAGAACCUAACCUCAGGCCUCUUUUCAGUUAAACUAAACAACCAGCCUGAAAGGUGCGAUAGCUGCUAGGUAAAAACACUCGUUUAAACAUCUCUGCGAUAGGCCUUCUUAUUUUCCGAUUUAGAAUUUUUCCUCAGUUCAUGAGUUAUUGUUAGGCCGUUUCCUCCACUUUUUUAAUUUAACUCUCCGGAAUUCGGGUUGCAUCCAAAAAGACCGAGAAAACGUGAACUUGUCCGAUUUCAGCUGUGAUUCCUCUUGUCGACUCUUCACUCUUGGGUUCAGCUGAAGCUCUUGUUCAAAUAUCCGCAGUUCUUGCCGUUGAAGGCAUAACCGGUCUUAGCUUUGACUUGGCAGUAGGAAAAGUCUAAAGACCUAACCCUAUUACCGCAGUGGGAGGAAGAGAAGUAGGAGAGCGGCAGGCGAAAGGUAAAGGUAAAGCGCCUUUCUUGGUCGGUGAUCGGUCAAUGAAGAGCCGAUCGGAGAAUAGUAUGUUUGAAGGAAUUAGGUAACUAGGAAGCGUACUGCCCUGCCAUAGUCGACUGCGAUUUUGAGCUCAGCUGGCAAGCCAAUCGCCGUCAGUGGCUUCGGCAGUCAUUCCAUUCAAGCAAGCUAGUCGUAGCGGGCAAGAAAGAAAAACCUGAGGUAAGAGCCGGUAAGCCCAAACAAACCUUCCCUCAGCUUGAAAAACAACCCUUUGGUUGGAGAAUUUCCUACGUAUGAAUUGCCCCGAUCCAUCACCAAAGUCAAUUCGUAAAAAAAGAGUAUAAAAGGAAUCGAUUCAGACACCCCCUUACCUUAAAGCCCUCAUUCGAAUAGUCUAAUAUAGGUGCCCAGGGGGCUAGGUUCCAACCAUUCUUGCUAAGGACAACCUCGCUCCAAUCGAAACGAAUAGCGACCCGCUUCCCAAUGGCCUCACCGAAGUAAGAUAGAUAUGCUUUUAUUCAGACCAAGAUUUUUUUAAUAAAAAGGCACGUUUAGGACCCCUAAUAAGGUGUAUGGCAUUAGCCUGCUAGGAAAGGAGUGGAUUAGUGUUUUGAGCUUGUUAUCAAAAGAUAAACCUUGGUCUCAAAAGAUAAAGGCAGAAAAACCUGUGAGAGAACGCCGAGUCAUAGGACAACUAACCCAAUCCUGUAGGACAACUAAUCCAAUCCGAGAAUUCGGAAAGUGUUCACCUUCGGGAUAAAAGGACUCCCUUUCUUCACUUCAGCUCCUUAUCUAGAAGCAUAUCUGGAUAUAUACUCAUAGUGGCUUCCAUACCUAUCUCCCGUAGAGCUAACAACAUAUCAACCUAUGACUAGUAGACCCAUACCAAGAUCUAACAGUAUACUUUAGCAUUUAAAGAUCUCUUUCGUUAUUCUAUUUUUUCGGGUUACUCACCGUACAGAUCAGAUUUUAUGCCAUUUAAUUUAAAUAUGGUUAAAGAUCCAUACCUGGCUGGGAAAGGAAAAGGGUAUAGGCAGUUUACUUAGUGAACUGAGUUUAAGUGGAUUCAGUAGAUUAUGCAGAUUAAGCCAUCUAAGUCAAGCCCAUCAUGUUUAAUCCACUUUACUUGUCAAAGAUAACCCGGUCAGCAAAAGAAAGAAAUUGUCGACGCCUACGCUGGCCAUUGCUUUGACCGUUCCAAUUUGAUUGUUGAACAGGAGCACUCUGGACGACGAAGCGACGAGAGUUACAUUAGGGUAGGGGCAAGCCCACUGUUAAGAGAAUCGCCAUUUUCCUAAGGGUUAAAGCCAAUAUCCUCUUUUAUUUCCGGGCUUGACGAGCUAGAAAAGGAAGCAUUAUUGAACAAAUUGGCGAAAAAAACUAAGAUAAGCUCAUAUAGUUGCAUAAAGCAAAGGAAAUAUAUUUAUUAUUAUUUGAAAUAAAACUUGAAAAGGGAUUGGGGGAUAUUAAAGCGGGUUGCAUUCAAUUCUUAUUAUUUAAUACCGAACUAACGAGAGUAAUGAGCUAAGAGGCUAGCAUUCCUUGAGGAAUCCUGCAGCAAGGACUUUUUAAUCGUCUAGUGGGCUAUCUUUCUGUUCUAAAAAGAAUAUGGCCUUAUCCCUAUGGAAUCCGAAAUCUAGCAGCCUCGAGACGCCAAAACCAAGGACUCCGCAAAGCUAAAAGAGUCAAGCUAGGUAAAAUGGGAUUAGAGCCUUGCAUAACGUACGGAAGACAGACUUUCACACGGCCAGAAAGAAAGGUCAGUGACGACAGAACUUGAAGUCACGUCAGAAAUUCUACUUCCCCGGUUCUUUUACCAGCCAGCCUACGUGAUAAGCAAGGAGAGCCAACGAACGAAAGCCAUCUUGUUGUUAUGAAAUGAGGCUUUGUUGCAAACUAUGUUGUUAUGAAAUGAGGCCUUGUUCGUAUAAUAAAUAAGAAAACGAACCACUUCUAUUCUCGGAGCUGAGGUAUAUGAAGAAUGGCUUUUUGGUCCCUUUCGUCCAGUGGUUAGGACAUCGUCUUUUCAUGUCGAAGACACGGGUUCGAUUCCCGUAAGGGAUAGUACUCAUUGUCGGCCGUUUACUGAAAGUGUUCCCUUCCCUUUUUUCCCGUCGGUCACUCCUAAAUGAAUAACUCUACCUUGUAUGGACUGCUAAAUAGAUUCCUCUUGGCUUGGGGGACUCUUUCAAUUGCUGAUAGACCGCUUCUCUUUUUCAGGGCCUGACCCUUUCUUUGAAUAACUAUAUUUUAGUUGCUCUCUUAACUCCGGAGCUCCGGGGACUAAGUAAAUUACAGACUACCCCGCUGAAAAAGGUGAGCAGCUUCAGUUAGAAGUUCCGCUCGAGUGGAACGGUUGUUGGUGCUAUAUUUCAUAUCCUCCACCUGUUGGUGAGUUACCUCUUCCCUUUCGGAAGAAAGCAAUAGUAGGAUUUCAGUCCCGGAUCUUGAGUACUAGUUGAGAUUUUCUCCAUCAAUGGCAGAAGGGGCGGGUAAAGCGCGGCUAGGUAGGCUUGCUUCGAAUAGGCUACACAGCCUUGGUCCCCGGAUGGUGUAAGUCCUUCUCUAACUUGAAGAGCAGCAAACCACCCUUCCUCUAAUGGCAUGGUCUUCCUUCAUCAUUCCACGAAACUUAAAAAUUAGUUUUUUUACUACACUAAAACCCAUCCUAAAAAGGGGCACUAAAGCUUGAACUUACUCUUUUCAACGGCAUCUUCCUUGUCUGCUUCUACAGAUGUGUUUGUGGCUGUUUUUUAAGAUUUAUAUGAUUCUGCGGAUGAAAGAUCGGAUUAUUCUGUUUCUGUUUAAGGGCAUCUUAAUUGAAUCUCCUAGAAUAGAAGCCUUCUCGUGUCAGCCUUCUA
rnacentral:lncRNA from 1 species